AACACUUGACAUGUUCGUCGCGACUCUAAGAGAUUAGAGUUUUCGGUUCGGCCGGACGAAACAC
rnacentral:rRNA from 1 species